rnacentral:snRNA from 1 species
GUGCUUGCUUCAGCAGCACAUAUACUAAAAUUGGAACGAUAUAGAGAAGAUUAGCAUGGCCCCUGUGCAAGGAUGACAUGCAAAUUCAUGAAGCGUUCUAUAUUUUA